CUAUUAUGGAGAGUUUGAUCCUGGCUCAGGACGAACGCUGGCGGCGUGCCUAAUACAUGCAAGUCGAGCGGAUUUAUCCUUCGGGAUAAGUUAGCGGCGGAC
rnacentral:rRNA from 1 species